rnacentral:misc_RNA from 1 species
ACGCAUACAUACAGCAAUGCUUCUCAAGGCAUCGCAACACCGUGAACUUGUGCAACUACCACCGUAUGUGAGGUGGACCGCUUGCGGCCUUAAAUGAGUGGAUGGUCGCGCGGCAUCUCCGUGCGAUAGCAUUGCUCGGCCUCACAUGCGUUUUGAUUUGAUUUUUCAUCACAUUUUACUAGCGUGUGCUGCUACGUAAGCAGAAGUAAAUUCGUGA